AGCUUUUCAUAGUGGCAGUAUUGUACCAAUGAGGUUUAUCUGAGGUGCGAUUAUUGCUAAUAGAAAU
rnacentral:snRNA from 1 species